UGCUUGCUUACUCCCCCCACAAGAAGGAUGGGGGGAGACUCAGAAGGUCAAGAACAGGGAACUUAUGGGUUGAGAUAAGGACAGUUUAAUAGGUAAAGCAAAGCUGCAUGUACAAGCAAAGCGAAAUAAGGAGUUCAUUCAGUGCUUCCCGUCAGCAGGCAGAUGUCCAGCUGCUUUCAGAGAAGUAAGGCCUCAGCACGUGUAAUGGUUAUUUGGGAAUAUUAAUGACAAAACCACAUAACUCCCCCCUCUCCUUUGUCUUAGCUUUUAUUGCUGGACACAUCGUAUGGUAAGGGAUAUCCCUUUGGUUAGGCUGUACACAGCUGUCCUGGCUCUGUGCACCCUCAGCCUCCUUGCUGGGGGGGGAGAGCAGCUCUAGGUGGCCCUGCUUGAGCAGGAGUUGGACCAGAUAAUCUCCAGACAUCCCAUCCUGCGAUGCUGUGAUUCUCUGAACUCCAUCCCGGCCAACAAGCGCUGAUUUUGUUCUGCUGCUGCUGAAGCAAAAGUCAUCCCAGGAGAAGGGGAACAGCGGUGCUGGAAGAGCUGCCUGGAGAGGAGCCUAUUGUCUCUGGGGAGUGUCUGAGGAUGCUAUAUCACCACAUCAACCUACAGAUCAAUUAAAAGUGGAAUAAAUUACUGUUCUGUCUGUGCACAUGCCUUGUCUGCAUUCCCAGUGCAAGCCACCACAGAGACCCCAGGCAGUGGAAUCAGCCCUGGCUGCAUGCGUGGAGGAAGGCAGCCGGAAAGCACAAGGCUCGGCUCCCCAGGUGGGGCAGAGGCAGAGGAGCUGGGGCCAGCGCCAGGGCCAGGAGUGGCUCCGCUGCUGCAGGGGUGUAGCGAGGGGUGCGGCCCCAGGCACCGCUCCAGAGGUGAGGUAGGCACGAAGACACGAGGUCCAGGGUGGGGUGAGAGCAGCCUGUGUGCUGGCAAAGUGCCCCGCUCCUGGCUCUGUGCCUGGCGAGUGAUAAAAAGGAAAACAGGAAAGGACCUGCCAAAUGACCUUCUUACCUGGGAAACCCAAUUUUUGCUCCAGCAUGGGCUAUACCGUGCUGGUGCUCUAGAUGCAAGGGGAGAGGGGUAAACAAGACAGGCUCUGAGGAAGGCAAAUGCUCAAUGGACAGACUGAGUGAAAAAUAAGGAAACGUUUGGCUGAGGUGAGAGCCUGAAGAGAAAGAAAAAAUGCCAGACUGAAACCUGCAGCAUCCAGACCCGACAAUUUCCAGCAUCAAUGACAAGGAGGCAGCAAGGAGGAACUGGUGAAAAAGAUAGUGAGGCAGCUGUGGGGAGUCUAAUAGAUCACUUGCACAGAGAGGCAAUGCCUGUUGUGGCAUAGUUGACCCAGCAACAUAUUUGGAAUAUUUUGCAGCUGGCAGAAUGCUUCUGACUAGGUCACCGCCUUGUGUCAUCAAGGUAAAGUAUCGCUGACCUAGUUGUAGGAGGCACCACCUCCACCUUAGUGAUGGUCAAACCAGAGUGACUCCAAGAAUGGGGAAGAAGAAGGAUGCUGAUUUGGCUGCAUGAGAAUCAGACUGCGUGACCAUGUCUGAAAUCAACUGGGAGGUUAGAAAGAGCAUAGGAGAGUGCUGGUAGCGUGGCUUGAAGGGGGAUCCAAAGGAAGAAGUAUUUCUUAGUCACUGGCUUACAGCCUUUUUCAAAACUUCUAUUAGAUUUUUAAUUCAUAUUAUUUAAUGAAAUAGUUCUCUGUUACCACUGUGAUAGAAUGAUACAGUUCUCAUUUAACAGAAAAUAGCAAACAUCACAUUUGUGUUCAUUCCUCUAUUCCAUUUCAGGAAUAAAACAAACAGUAAAAUUUGCCACCUGUAAUUCUAUAUGGACCAGAAAUUCUCAGACCUAUCUGGAAAUAGAGCUUGGCUUCUGGACAUGGACAUUACCUUCCUGCUGGUGCAUUGUUACUCUUAGGAGACAGGACUUUGGUCAGAUGAUGAGCAAACCAGGAUAUGCAGUGAGAUAAUGGGUAUUUUUUCUUCCAGUGAAAAUGAUCUCAACCAAAUAGCCCUGUAUACUGCCUAGCUGCUUGGCUUCAGGGUAAACACAGUUUAUAUGUACCAAGGUAUUUGCAAACUGGUUAAGUAACCUUGUUAAAUGGGGAUCCACUUAACCAUACACCUAAUACAAACAAUUUGUUGGUAACUUCAUGAAAUAAGAUCUUGCUUCAGUGCAAAGUGACUAUAAAUUGGAGGCAUUGUUAAUGAAAAUUCUAGCGUAUUAUGUUCAUUAGGUGCUAAUGUAAGCAAUUGUUCAAAGUACAAGGCAGUGGAGCCAUUGAAGAUUUUUCUUAUCUUCUGUCUGUUUUUCAGUACCCAAAAUAUUACUGUUAUUUUCCACCUACUCCUCCUAAAUCACCUUCCUGAUAAAAAGAUAAAUCCAGUAUUUCAGGUGCAGUUACAUAUGUCUUUGCUGUAUUGUUACAUUUCUAGAUGAUCUGAAUCUCUUUAGUGAGUGAUCCUUCAGUCGAUUUUUUUUUCCCCACUAUUGCCUGUUUUUGUCUCUCUGUGGGAAGAAUUUAUUGCUGUGACACUGUUACAUGUAGAAGCCUUUGCAGAAGAUUAAUGAAAUCAGUUCAUCUCACUAAACGUGGUAUCAAUGAAGGUAUCCAUUUAAACACUUGGGAAUGAUGUCACUUCAACAGCUGUAGAGCUGUAGAUAUGCAGAUAUAACAGUUUACAUAUCCUAGCAUGUAGCUGUGCAAUGCACAUUAUAAAUAGCCUGAUCAACAAGGCAAUAAAAUACAGUUGUAACUCACAAAUUUUACUGUAACUUUAUUGAUCUGAUUGGAAGCUCUUGGAAGACCUAAAUGAACAAACAAACAAACAAAAAAAAAAAUAAGUAAGUACAUACCUACUUUAAAAAUAUUUAAAAACAAAUCAACACAUGCCACUGUUUUUGAAGGAUUUAUUUCCUAG